AGUGAACGCUGGCGGUAGGCCUAACACAUGCAAGUCGAACGGCAGCACAGUAAGAGCUUGCUCUUACGGGUGGCGAGUGGCGGACGGGUGAGGAAUACAUCGGAAUCUACUUUUUCGUGGGGGAUAACGUAGGGAAACUUACGCUAAUACCGCAUACGACCUACGGGUGAAAGCAGGGGAUCUUCGGACCUUGCGCGAUUGAAUGAGCCGAUGUCGGAUUAGCUAGUUGGCGGGGUAAAGGCCCACCAAGGCGACGAUCCGUAGCUGGUCUGAGAGGAUGAUCAGCCCCACGGGAAUUGAGCAACGUACCAGACUCCUCAGGGAGGCAGAGUGGGGGAAUUUGGGAAAAGGGGGGAAAGCCUGAUCCAGCCAUACCGGGUGGGUGAAGAAGGCCUUCGGGUUGUAAAGCCCUUUUGUGGGGAAAAAAAAGCAGCAGGUUAAAACCCCGCUGUUUUGGCGGUACCCAAAGAAAAAGCACCGGCUAACUUCUG
rnacentral:rRNA from 1 species